CGAGGCAGAGGGUGGUGUCCCUGUCUUACAGCUGAAGAAACUGAGGCUCAGAGAGCUCCAGCCUGCUGGGGACCUGUGGCUCAGAGGCUCUGAACCCAGUUCCCUGGGACUCUGCCCCUGUGUUUUCACCACUGUGCUCUUCUGCCUUAUGGGGAAAAACGAUUUGUUAAAUGUUAUGAAGUUGGCAGCCUAUGAAUUUGUGCUGUGAGUUCCUCUUGGCCGCCUUUCUGGGAAAGAGACUGGGGAAACUGUGCCCUAAAGCGGUUUCUGGAAUGCGGCUUCUCCUGAAACGCCACAUCUCCGGUGUUGCGUGUG
rnacentral:lncRNA from 10 species